CAGUCGCCGGGUAAUACGUAGGUCCCGAGCGUUGUCCGGAUUUAAUGGGCGUAAAGCGAGCGCAGGCGGUUUGAUAAGUCUGAAGUUAAAGGCUGUGGCUCAACCAUAGUUCGCUUUGGAAACCGUCAAACUUGAGUGCAGAAGGGGAGAGUGGAAUUCCAUGUGUAGCGGUGAAAUGCGUAGAUAUAUGGAGGAGCACCGGUGGCGAAAGCGGCUCUCUGGUCUGUAACUGACGCUGAGGCUCGAAAGCGUGGGGAGCGAACAGGAUUAGAUACCCCUGUAGUCCCUGUCUCUUAUACAC
rnacentral:rRNA from 1 species